GUGAGGGCUGCGAACACACUGUCACCUCUCACCGCCUGCUUACCUACCACUGAGAUUGUUCCUGCCACUGUCAGUGAUGCUGAAUGAGUGCUUCAACAACUGUUGGGAAAGGAGAAAACCCAUUUAGCUAUGUCAGAAGAUCUGCCAGUCCUCACUGUCUGUUUCACUGUGGUAGAACCUUCACACCGGAAGAACUAGGAUGGGAACAUCUCCAGCUGGCAGUUACUUUUUUCUGGUCAAGUUCUGCUGUGGAGACUGAAUGGUCCAGGAUGCCUUCACUUACUGAUAGUGGCGAGG
rnacentral:lncRNA from 10 species